rnacentral:tRNA from 1 species
UCUGGGACGGAAGGAUUCGAACCUCCGAGUAACAGGACCAAAACCCGUUGCCUUACCACUUGGCCACGCCCCA